rnacentral:rRNA from 1 species
GUCUACGGCCAUGCCACCCUGAACAAGCCCGAUCUCAUCUGUUCUCAGAAGCUAAGCAGGGUUGGGCCUGGUUAGUACUUGGAUGGGAGACCACAUAGUAAGACCAGGUGCUAUAGGCG